AUGCAUUUAAGCUGUGCAGUGAUAAUUCUACACCUCCCUGGGACUGUGAAGACCCCGCUUCAUGGAAGGGCAGUUUCACCUAGAGGCUGGCUGCUCACUUUACUGACUAAUACACAGUCAGCAGAAUCCAGAGAACUGCAAAAAAACCUAAUAGAAGGAAACAACAGAAGGAAUAGAUCAGUGACGAUGAACCUGCACCGGCAUAGAACAGUGAUUGGGACCUGCUGAUUAUCAAGGAAAAUUUAGGAGAAAGCAAAUAUGC